rnacentral:rRNA from 1 species
CAGAAACUUAAAGGAAGUGACGGGCCCGGCACAAGCGGAGGAGCAUGUGGUUUAAUUCGAUGAUACGCGAGGAACCUUACCUGGGCUCGAACGUAAGAUGACUGUAGGUGAAAGCUUACAUCUCUUCGGAGCAUUUUACGAGGUGCUGCAUGGUUGUCGUCAGCUCGUGCCGUGAGGUGUCUGGUUAAGUCCCAUAACGAGCGCAACCCCUACCUUUAGUUGCCAUCAGGUAAUGCUGGGGACUCUAAAGGAACUGCCUACGCAAGUAGUGAGGAAGGCGGGGAUGACGUCAAAUCAGCACGGCCCUUACGUCCAGGGCUACACACGUGCUACAAUGGCCGAUACAGAGGGCAGCUACCUGGUGACAGGAUGCAAAUCUCCAAAGUCGGUCUCAGUUCGGAUCGGAGUCUGCAACCCGACUCCGUGAAGUUGGAUUCGCUAGUAAUCGUGGAUCAGCCAAGCCGCGGUGAAUACGUUCCCGGGCCUU